GACGAACGCUGGCGGCGUGCCUAAUACAUGCAAGUCGAACGAGAGCGACCGGUGCUUGCACUGGUCAAUCUAGUGGCGCACGGGUGAGUAACACGUGGGUAACCUGCCCAUCAGAGGGGGAUAACAUCCGGAAACGGAUGCUAAAACCGCAUAGGUCUUCGAACCGCAUGGUUUGAAGAGGAAAAGAGGCGCAAGCUUCUGCUGAUGGAUGGACCCGCGGUGCAUUAGCUAGUUGGUGAGGUAACGGCUCUCCAAGGCCGUGAUGCAUAGCCGACCUGAGGGGGUGAUCGGCCACAUUGGGACUGGGACACGGCCCAAACUCCUGCGGGAGGCAGCAGUAGGGAAUCUUCCGCAAUGGACGCAAGUCUGACGGAGCAACGCCGCGUGAGUGAAGAAGGUGUUCGGAUCGUAAAACUCUGUUGUUAGAGAAGAACAAGUGCUAGAGUAACUGUUAGCGCCUUGACGGUAACUAAUCAGAAAGCCACGGCUAACUACGUG
rnacentral:rRNA from 1 species